rnacentral:lncRNA from 1 species
UUACCUUAAGAUUUGCACUCUCAGUUUUACACGCCUGAUGCAAAAAAGGAAAAGAAAAGAAAAUUUCAUCCUCUCUGUAUCUACACUACUCUGCUCUGGAUUCUGAUAGAUGGGACCAUGAGCUAAAGUAAUUUAAUUUCCCCAAGUAAAACCAAGUUUUUGAUACUGUUUUUGACUCUUAUAUGAUAUAUAGCACUGACACGUUCAAAUUUCAAUGGCUGUUAUUGACGCAGGAAGAACACUUAGACACGGAUUUGAUACUAGAUUCUAUAGACUGAAUUUCUCUCUUAUUCUGUAACUAGGUAUAGUAGCACCUUGAUGACACAAU